rnacentral:rRNA from 2 species
CGUCCUAUUAGCUAGUUGGUGAGGUAAUGGCUCACCAAGGCUACGAUGGGUAGGGGUUCUUAGUGGAAGGUCCCCCACACUGGCACUGAGAUACGGGCCAGACUCCUACGGGAGGCAGCAGUAGGGAAUAUUGGUCAAUGGGCGCAAGCCUGAACCAGCCAUGCCGCGUGCAGGAUGAAGGCUCUCUGAGUUGUAAACUGCUUUUGUACAGGAGCAAAAAAAUCCCUGCGGGGGUUCUUGAGAGUACUGUAAGAAUAAGCACCGGCUAAUUCCGUGCCAGCAGCCGCGGUAAUACGGGAGGUGCAAGCGUUAUCCGGUUUUAUUGGGUUUAAAGGGUGCGUAGGCGGCUUAUUGAGUCAGUUGUGAAAUCCUAGUGCUUAACGCUAGAACUGCGAUUGAUACUAUU